rnacentral:rRNA from 1 species
AACCUGGUUGAUCCUGCCAGUAGUCAUAUGCUUGUCUCAAAGAUUAAGCCAUGCAUGUCUAAGUAUAAGCACCUUAUACUGUGAAACUGCGAAUGGCUCAUUAAAUCAGUUAUCGUUUAUUUGAUGAUCUCUUGCUACUUGGAUACCCGUGGUAAUUCUAGAGCUAAUACAUGCGACAACACCCGACUUCUGGAAGGGUGGUAUUUAUUAGAUAAAAAACCUUCUCGCUUCGGCGAUGUCCCGGUGAUUCAUAAUAACUUUUCGAAGUGCAUGGCCUUGCGCCGGCGCUGGUUCAUUCAAAUUUCUGCCCUAUCAACUUUCGAUGGUAAGAUAGAGGCCUACCAUGGUGGUAACGGGUAACGGGGAAUUAGGGUUCGAUUCCGGAGAGGGAGCCU